rnacentral:lncRNA from 1 species
CAGCACAAAUAGGAGCUUUAUUCUUUAAAAUAUAAAGCGCAUCAUGCGCAGAGUUUACAGAAUAACCUUGUCCUAUUAAACAAGAAACAGAAAUCAAAUUCCGCUUCAUUCGCGGGACAUAAUAACAGUCUUUAAGAAUUAAAUGCCUACCACUAUUGAAAUAAAAGUAAACUACUCCUACUGCUCUUGCUGAAACUAUAGCUCCUGUGCCGACAGUAAUUUUAAAUUGGCC